rnacentral:lncRNA from 1 species
AAGGGAUGCCUGGCAUGUCUGAGGCAGAUCAAGUGAAGACAUCUACAUUCUUUCUCAAAAAGUUGAUCAGUUUCUUCCAUAGUUCGUCACUUAAUGAAGAUCUGAUCUAGAUGGUUUUAGUCGGAUCCUCAUUGUUAAGGGGUACUGAGAUAAGUUGCUCUGUAGGUUCUUCCCGACUUUCUUCUUCUCUCUGAUCCAGUUCAUCAU